GACGGAGGAUGCAAGUGUUAUCCGGAAUCACUGGGCGUAAAGCGUCUGUAGGUGGUUCGAAAAGUCCACUGUUAAAAAUUGAGGCUUAACUUCAAAGAUGCCGUGGAAACUUUCAAACUAGAGUAUGGUAGGGGUAGAGGGAAUUUCCAGUGGAGCGGUGAAAUGCGUAGAUAUUGGAAAGACCACCGAUGGCGGAGGCACUCUACUGGGCCAUUACUGACACUGAGAGACGAAAGCUAGGGGGAGCAAAUGGG
rnacentral:rRNA from 1 species